AUUGAACGCUGGCGGCAUGCUUUACACAUGCAAGUCGAACGGUAACAGGGAGCUUGCUCCGCUGACGAGUGGCGAACGGGUGAGUAAUGCGUCGGAACGUGCCGAGUAGUGGGGGAUAACGCAUCGAAAGGUGUGCUAAUACCGCAUACGUACUGAGGUAGAAAGUGGGGGACCUUCGGGCCUCACGCUAUUCGAGCGGCCGACGUCUGAUUAGCUAGUAGGUGAGGUAAAGGCUCACCUAGGCGACGAUCAGUAGCGGGUCUGAGAGGAUGAUCCGCCACACUGGGACUGAGACACGGCCCAGACUCCUACGGGAGGCAGCAGUGGGGAAUUUUGGACAAUGGGCGAAAGCCUGAUCCAGCCAUGCCGCGUGUCUGAAGAAGGCCUUCGGGUUGUAAAGGACUUUUGUCGGGGAGGAAAUCCCCAGCGCUAAUACCGCUGGGGGAUGACAGUACCUGAAGAAUAAGCACCGGCUAACUACGUGCCAGCCGCCGCCGUAACAC
rnacentral:rRNA from 1 species